GAACGCUGGCGGCGUGCUUAACACAUGCAAGUCGAACGGGGCGAAGUGAUAGCUUGCUAUUAUGGAGCCUAGUGGCAAACGGGUGAGUAACGCGUAGGNAACCCUGCCCUUCAGAUGGGGACAACACCUCGAAAGGGGUGCUAAUACCGAAUGACGUUUCCUGGUCGCAUGACCUGGAAACCAAAGGCCGGGCAACCGGUCACUGAAGGAUGGGCCUGCGUCUGAUUAGCUAGUUGGUGGGGUAACGGCCCACCAAGGCGACGAUCAGUAGCCGGUCUGAGAGGAUGAACGGCCACAUUGGGACUGAGACACGGCCCAAACUCCUACGGGAGGCAGCAGUGGGGAAUCUUCCGCAAUGGGCGCAAGCCUGACGGAGCAACGCCGCGUGAGUGAAGAAGGUUUUCGGAUCGUAAAGCUCUGUUGAGAGGGACGAGAGAUAUAAUCAGGAAAUGGGUUAUAGAGGACGGUACCUUUCGAGGAAGCCACGGCUAACUACGUG
rnacentral:rRNA from 1 species